GGGAGGGAAUGACUAGUGACAGAGGGAGGGAGUGACUAGUGACAGAGGGAGGGAGUGACUAGUGACAGAGGGAGGGAGGGGGUGACUGUCACUAGUCACCCCAUCCCUCUCUCUGUCACUAGUCACCCCCUCCCUCACUCUGUCACUGUGUCACCCCCUCCCUCACUCUGUCACUGUGUCACCCCCUCCCUCACUCUGUCACUGUGUCACCCCCUCCC